rnacentral:rRNA from 1 species
CCUACGGGAGGCUGCAGUGAGGAAUAUUGGUCAAUGGCCGGAAGGCUGAACCAGCCAAGCCGCGUGAAGGACGAAGGUGCCAAGCAUUGUAAACUUCUUUUGUCAAGGGACAAAAUCAGGCUCGAGAGCCUGACCGAGGGUACUUGAAGAAAAAGCAUCGGCUAACUCCGUGCCAGCAGCCGCGGUAAUACGGAGGAUGCGAGCGUUAUCCGGAUUUAUUGGGUUUAAAGGGUGCGUAGGCGGACUGUUAAGUCAGCGGUAAAAGCCCGGGGCUCAACCCCGGCGAGCCGUUGAAACUGGCUGUCUUGAGAUGUCGAGAGGUAUGCGGAAUGCGCAGUGUAGCGGUGAAAUGCUUAGAUAUAUGUAAGAACACCAGUGGCGAAGGCGGCUUGCUGGGUCGAUACUGACAUUGAGGCACGAAAGCGUGGGGAGCAAACAGGAUUAGAUACCCUGGUAGUC